CAGUCCUGAAACGUAUCUUGUAUUAAAGCGCUGCAGGAGGAAUUUCAUCUAGGGUUAGGGUUUGUCGAAGAUGAUUCUGGUGGCAAUUCUUGCGCAGCUGCUUGAGGAGUGCACGGCACUUGUGGCUAGGGUUCUAGAGCAUUUUCUUAACGAGGCCCCCUUCCUGCGCCGCUUGCGCUUCUUUAUUUUGCGGAGUUUAUCCUUCACCUCCAUGCCUCGCCGGAACCCCGCGGCGUCGGCUCAAUGAAUCUCUUGCCGUAUCGGUUGUUGGCUGGACUUUGACAAAUGAUAAACACAUUGAUAUCAGACGAGCCAACCUCCUAGUGUCCCUGCAAACUAGUAUCACUGGUAUGGAAUCUAUCAAAGGUUUAUAUGUGGAUGAUUCAGAUUUGCUAAACCGUGGAACAAAUGCAAUUCAGGUUAGCCAAUUAUAGAUUUUUCUCUCCAAAAGGGUUAUUUAUUUAAAGGAAAUCAGCUAUGUAUACCAAAUACCUCACUGAGAAUGCGGCUAAUUCGAGAACUCCAAGGUGGUGGUCUAGCAGCUCACAUUGGAAGAGAUAAAACCUUAUCAUUUAUUGCAAGCUCGCUUCUUUUUGCCUAAGCUCUAACGGGAUGCAUCAAGAUAUGUGGAAUGUUGUCAUAAAUGCCAAACUUACAAAGGAUCAUCACAAAACAUUGGUCUAUACAACCCGUUACCAAUUCCAGAUUCAAUUUGAGAAGUCUUAAGUCUUGAUUUUGUUUUGGGGCUGCCGAAAAUAAACCAUGGGAUGGAUUUUUGUGAUGGUGAUUGUAGAUAAUUUUUUCCAAAAUGUCACAUUUUUUUGCUUGCAAGAAAACAUUUGACGCACUUAAUGUGGCGAGAAUCUUUUUCAAAGACAUAGUUCGAUUGCAUGGCAUACCUCAAAGCUUGAUCUCUGACUGUGAUUUCUAAUCCGUGAGCUAUUUUUGGAGAGAACUUUUGAAGUAAUUUCAAAUCAAUCUCAAGUUGAGUUUUGCUUAUCAUCCACAAACCGAUGGCCAAACGGAGGUCACCAAUAGAACACUUGCAAAUAUGAUUAGAUAUCUGGUGGGAAAACAAACAAAGAGAUGGGAUGAAGCCUUAAGUUAAUUCUAUGGUGAACCAUUCUACGAGUCGGGCUCAAUUUGACAUUGUUUAUACUAAGGCUCCCAACCAUAUAGUUGAUUUGGCUAUUAUACCAAAACCAAACCAUAAAGCUGCUAGUCAGUUAGCAAUCGGCUUCACUACCGUGCUUCAAGACGUUCAUCGAAAGCUUAUCGCCAAUGUUGCAAAGUACAAGUCACAAGCUGAUAAACACUGCAAGCAUAAAGAAUUUAAUGUAAGAGAUUUGAUUAUGGUUCAUCUGCGCAAAGAGCUCUUUCAAGUCGGCAUUAUUCUAAAUUGAAACCAAGAAAUUUGGGUCUUUUCCUAUCUCUGCUAAAACAAAUGAUAAUGCCUAUGUUAUUCGACUGUCACUGUUAAAUAUAUGGAGUUUGUGACUUAUGUACCUCACCUAUCGCGUCUCACAUACCUCUCUCCCACCUAUCUCUCUCCACCUACC